UGGUUGUCCUAGAAGUUACAAUGUAGACCAAGCUGGCCUUGAACUCACAGAGAUACAUCUGCCUUUGCAUCCCAAGUGGUAAGAAUUUUAGUGUUGGCUUUAUUGCUGUGAAAAACACCAUGACCUAGACAACCGCUCUAAAUGCAAACAUUUAAUAGUGGAUGGCUUACAGUUUCAGGAAUAUAGUCAGUUAUAUCAGGAAGCAUGCCAGUGUGCAGGUAGACAUGGUGCUGGAGGAGCAGAGACUUCUACAUCUUGAUCCAAAGGCAGCCAGGAAGAGGCUCUCAUUCUACACUGGGCACAGCAUGAGCAUAGAGACCACAGAGAACACCCCCACAGUCACACACUUUCUCCAACAAGGCCAUGCCUAUUCCCACAAGGCCACACCUCCUAAUAGUGCCACUCUUUAUGGGCCAAGCUUUCAAGCACAUGAGUCUAUGGGAACCACCUAUUCAGUCCACCACACUGGGAUUGAAGGUAUGUGUAACCACACUAGCUUUAGUUACUUUUCUAUUGCUGUGAUAAGACACUGUGACCAAGGCAAUUUAUAAAAGGAAAUAUCUAAUCUCUUCUUUAGUCUCAGAGGUUUUGAGUCCAAGAUGGCAGAAGAGAGGUGUGGUGGAGGAACAGCUGAGAGCUCAGGACUUGAUAUGAAAGCACCAGGCUGAGACACUGGGAAUAGUGAAGUCUGUUAAAACCUCAGCACCAAUCCAGUGGCACACAUCCUCCAACAAGGCCACACAUCCCAAUCCUUUCUGAACAGUUCCAUCAGCUGGAUUUGAAAUAUUAAUUCCUGUGAGCCUGUGUGGCUGUUCUCAUUCAAACCAGCACAGCGUUCACUAUGAAAUGUAAGAUGCCAGCAGGGUUCUGCAGAUGUGUCCAGUGCAGUCCGACAGAAAUAACCUUAAACAGGGGACUCUGCUGAGUUAGCAUCUGUCCCUAUGCCUCUGUCUCCUUCUGUUUAGCUCCUCUCUGUCUCUGUCCCUCAGGCCUCACCCCAUCAGUGCCCAGCACCCCUCCCUCCUGAGCUCUGCACUGACCCUGUCUUUUCUUGUGCAUCUAGUUUCUCUCACAGUUCUCAGGCAGCAUGCUGUGAAUCAGCUGUGUGGUUUCCUUAUGUAAACAUUCCAAUAGUGGCUGGAGAGAUGGCUCAGCAUCUAAGAGCACUUCUUGCUGUUGCAGAGGAUCCAGGACCCUCCAAGGUCUCUACUGUUGAAGAUGAUAGAGAAGCAUCACAUUCUUGGGCAACAGCGCCACCUGGUGGAAGAGACGAAGAGGACAGAGCCUGAGCCCACAGAGCUGAGGGAAGAAGACAAAUCUGUAAUCCAGAAUAUUUGACUGAACCCUUUCCCCCAUUUGUAAUCUGGGCCACACCUUCUGCUGAAAGCCUACAUGAAGACAUGGAAGAAGGAAAGGCUUGCUCUUUGUCUGAUUGCUCUUGCUGCAUCUGUGAGACAUUCCUGCUGGCCCGCCCUUGCUCUGAAUAAUGACAGCAGUCUUACAUUUAUUUAUGAAUGCCUAGGCUUUAUGCUAGGCCUGUUCCCAGCUCUCUCAUAUUCAGUUAUCCCAUUUAUACUAUUCUAAGUUCUGCCAGGUGGCUGGUCACCUCUCCUCAGUUUCACACAUCCUGCUUCCUCAGAGUCUGGGUGGCAAAUCUCUGAUGCUUUUCUCUUCCCAGAGUUCCUCUCUCUGACGAGAAUCCUGUCUUUAACUCUCCUUUACUACGGGACAUAGGCUUUUUAUUUUACCACUCAGAAGGUGCGUUAGGUAGACAAGGUAGGACAGAGACUCAUCUUCACACAGUGUACAACAGCAAUACCUCAACAUUGUCCCCUUUAGUCCUAUAAAAGGCUCUUUCUCUGAC